GGUAUGCUUAACACAUGCAAGUCGAACGGAGCUUUUCGGAGCUAAGUGGCGGACGGGUGAGUAACGCGUGAGAAUCUACCUUUUGGAGGGGGACAACACUGGGAAACCAAUGCUAAGACCCCAUAGGCUGAAAAGUGAAAAACGAAAGUUGCCAAGAGAGGAGCUCGCGUCUGAUUAGCUAGUUGGUAGUGUAAAAGACAACCAAGGCGACGAUCAGUAGCUGGUCUGAGAGGACGAACAGCCACACUGGGACUGAGACACGGCCCAGACUCCUACGGGAGGCAGCAGUGGGGAAUUUUCCGCAAUGGGCGAAAGCCUGACGGAGCAAUACCGCGUGAGGGAGGAAGGCCUUUGGGUUGUAAACCUCAAAAAUUAGGGAAGAAAAAAAUGACGGUACCUAAAAUAAGCAUCGGCUAACUCCGUGCCAGCAGCCGCGGUAAUACGGAGGAUGCAAGCGUUAUCCGGAAUCAUUGGGCGUAAAGAGUCCGUAGGUGGCUAAUCAAGUCCGAAGUUAAAGACAGAAGCUAAACUUCUGGAAAGCAGCGGAAACUGAAGAGCUAGAGUGUAGGAGAGGUAGAGGGAAUUCCCAGUGUAGCGGUGAAAUGCGUAGAGAUUGGGAAGAACACCAGUGGCGAAGGCGCUCUACUGGACUAAAACUGACACUGAGGGACGAAAGCUAGGGUAGCGAAAGGGAUUAGAUACCCCUGUAGUCUUAGCAGUAAACGAUGGAUACUAGGCGAAGUCUGUGUAAACUCAGACUGUGUCGAAGCUAACGCGUUAAGUAUCCCGCCUGGGGAGUACGCACGCAAGUGUGAAACUCAAAGGAAUUGACGGGGGACCCGCACAAGCGG
rnacentral:rRNA from 1 species